rnacentral:lncRNA from 1 species
GCAAACUUGGGGGCGGAGACGCACCCCAGGCUUGACGGCUGAGGCUGGGCCGGGACGGAAGAGGGGGCGUCCCUGGGGGCGUCGCACGUGGACCCCCAGCACAGGCACGCCACGUGCACCCCGCUGUGCACGCCAGCAUUUCCUGCGGCAUCCUUUUCGGGUUCACUGGCCUUCGGCUGGUGUUCUUGCGGUUCCCAGCCUCUGGGAGGACUUGAAGAAGGGAGGAGACCUGUAGGAGGGGGCUUUGCGGGACGAAUAGGAGUUUACCGAGUGUUGUUGGAAGAGAAGAAGGUUGUGUUGCGGGGCAGCAGUCAGGUCACGUUGUGGAGUCGGGGGAAUAGGAAAAGGCAAAGCUGCCUAGAGCCCUGAAGGAGAUCCCCCCCAAGUCUAGGCUUCAGCUGACGGGGACGGGACGCCUAACCGUGACCCUGGUUAGCAUCACCCUUUGGGAGGUGGAGGCAGAAAAAGUAGAACAGGUUUGACCGAAAUCCCAAUCAUCCGGAAGAAGCUGCGAGGGCCGAUGGCAGGGAUGGAGGAUGGGGAGGUUGAAGGUUUUAAAAUGCACGCGGGCACUUUGGAUGAGGCGAGAAGGAUCCCCGGGGCAGGUAUUCCAGGUCAUCAUUAAGUGGCCUCGGUAAAGAAGUGGGGGAGAGGUGGGUGCCUGCACACCUGACAUCACAUCGCUCAAGAGGCUGAGACAGAAGGAUGACCUCCUGCCCAGGCUGGCCUGCGGUGGCAAGACUAGGGUAGAGGCUGACGACGAAAAGGAACGGUGUGGUUUCCCAAACGAGCUAAGGGGGGGGGGGACAUUGCAAAUGGGCCGAGUUCUGUGACCAAGCAGCCGGGGGCGGGUAGAAAGAGGUCACUAGAGGUCAUGGCUUCCUGCCAAAGGCUGGAGUCCCCUGGGGGGAGGAGUGGCCACUCUCCAGUCGGGAAUCUGGGGACUUGGCAGCAAGCUCCGAGAUGUCAGAGGCCUUGGGAAGGAGACUACGCUGGCGGCAGCUGGGCGUGGAGAUCUUUCCUGGAGUCUGAUUCCAGCCCCACCCACGGCCACCUAGUCCUCCGCGGUGUCACGCGGGGCAGCUUUUCUCUAUUUCUGUCUCUCUCCAGGCCCCUCUAUUUUCGUCCUUUCACUGGCUGUCCCACCCCCUCCCCUCCCCCACUUCCGCCCCCUCCUUUACCCUUCCCCCUCCUCACAUUCCAACCUCCGCCCCCGCCCACAGCCGUGGGGCCAGCUGCUGUUUUGGGUGUCCAGGGGACAGAAAAGGAGAUGGGUUCUGCCCUGGGUCAGAGGUCCUCCCUCCUCGGAAUGUUUGAAGACCCAACCGGAGAGGGUGCCCCUAACCCUGCUGGAAUGUGGGCGGGACCGGACCCCAUCGAAGAAGGAGGUCACCCCUCACCCCUGCAGGCAGCCGCAGACAGCUGUCAUGCCCCACAAGACAUAAGCGGAACACCACCAACCCGGAGGCCUCCACGAAGCUGCAGCAGCCAGGAGCAUUUACUGAGGACUUCGCGCCAGCCUCCCAGUGCAUAACACCCAUCUCAUGAACCUGACCCUGACCCCACACUUUGGUUCUUGAACAUACCGAACCCUGCUAGUCCCAGGGAUAUAAGACUGUCUUAGCGGCUUCCCAAGGGAGCGUGAGGUCGGAGAUUUUGAGUUCAAGGCCAGCCUGGGCAACUUAGUGAGAACCACCCACACACACACUUGAAAAGUAAGAAACAUGCUGGGUUCGUGGCUCUGUGGUGCUAGCAUAGCUUGCCUGAAGUUCUGUGCUCCCCAAAGGAAAAAAGAAAAAGAGUUGUUGUUUGUUUUUAUUGUUUUAAAUUGGCUUUAAUCGUGUGUGUGUUUUUCGUGAGUGUUUUGUCUGAGUGUACGUGUGUGUGCCAUGUUCAUGCCUUCUGGCUGUAACCGGGCUAAGAAUUCUGUCGGAUCCCCUGGGACUGCGUGGUGAUUGAGAGUCACCAUGUAGGUGUCCAGAUUCAAACCCAGGUCAUUUGGAAGAGCAGCAGCAGCAGGAGUGCUAACCUCUGAGAUGUCUCUGCAGCCUCUAGUUGGGAUAUUUGCUCAGCAACUAGUACUUGAGGUACCCAGAAAGAAAAGCAACAUCCUCAAAUUCACCACAGCCACCAAGGGGACCCCCGUUACUGCCUUGUGACCUGCCAGUCACUGUCAUUUCCUGGUAGGAAACAGGAAUGUUAGUUGGGGGAUUAUUCACAGAUAACGCCCCAAGAAAGUGACUAUCUUUUGUUAGGCUGUCAUCCCAGCACUUGGCACUUGAGAGGUACAAGCAGAGGACCAGGAUUUCUAGGUCACCCUCCACCACACAGAGACUUCAGGGACAAUCUAGGCUUCUUGAGACCCUGUCUCACGGCAAUAAGAAAGUCUUUCAGAAUGUUAGAAAUACACACAAACUGGGGCAGACAAGUGACAGCCAGAGAAGACAGCAUGGAGGAGACUCAACAGUGCCCUUGACCCAGUCCCUUUCAGACCCUGGAGGCUCCCCAGAUGACACUCACUUCUCAGAUGAAGCAAUGGGGCCAGAGAGGUGCCUGGGUGCUGCCUACCCAGACAGCUGGGCCCGUGGACUACAGCUGACCCUCUGCACCUCCAAGGGUUCAAGGACCAGCUGCUUGCACUGGGACCUUUCGGCACCCUCAGGUUGACAGAUGCUUCAUGACCUGUGACUGUCCCUGUGCAGCUAAGUUCGGAGGAAGCACUGCAGGCCACCAGCUCCAGGCAGAAGUUGCUCUGCCCGUCUCUGUUUGUUUCCGGGGAGGCUGUUUGUGUGUUAACCUGCAUGGGAGGCUGUGCCACAGUCAGGUGAGUGGACUGGGCAGAAGUCCCUGGAGUGAUAGGGGCGGAAGAGGCCCUUGCUAAACAGCAUCUGAGCAUCCCUGGGGGUUGAUGCCCUACAACUCCUCCCAUCCCUCCUGCAGUUUUAGAAACCCAAAUAGAUCAUUUCCCAGACAGAUGAGCCACCCAGCUUCUGGGGUUUCCUGGGCGUCACUGCAGGGCCACUGGUGUUUUUUGGGCAUCUGAUAGAGACCUUGUGGAUGAUUGCGUGUCACUGCAUGUUCCUGCUGCAAAUACCCCUUUAGUGCAAGGGCACUGCUUCCCAGUCCCAGUAGUUUAUUGAAGACAGGCAGGAAGCUAUGGGAAGCCCACAGGGUCUCUCCAGGGUGCAGGCAAUUUGCCAGAUGACAAAGGCAUGUCGAGUUUGUGACUGAGCCUGACAGGUCUGCAAUAGAGGAUGUGGGUGUGCACGUGUAUAGCAUGGCUUGUCAUAGGAUGUGUGUGCUGGCUGGGGCGUCCCUUUGCUGUUCAAGGCCCAGGUCUGGGCAAGAGCCUCAGGGGCCCGGCCUCCCAAGCUUUCGUAUUCCCAUUCCUGGAGUAUGACUCAGGGUUGCGGGGAGGGAUGAGUCACAGGAACUUGGGCCUAGCCAGCCCUGGCCGCAGACCCUUUCCAGACACAGAGUCCAGUUCCUCUGGGUGGCAGGAGGCCAGACCUCAGACACCUGAGGGAUCAGAGCCCACCCAAGAAAAAAAAAAAAAAAGAAAGAAAGAAAAAAAAAAGGCAAGCUUAACUCUUACAGCUGGCUCUGGGUUUUAGCUUCUCUAAUUGGGAGGCCCGGGUGUCUCUGACACAGCUCUCAUGCCCACCCCUGGAGCAUGAGUCAUGCUACCAGGCAUAGAUGGCUGCAUUAGCACCCACCCCAGUCACGCACACCUCGCCCUGCCCUGAGCAUCUACAUCCCUGUUGUGCUCACUUUUGUCGGCAUUUCGGCACCCUGUCCACCCACCUUGUCCUUAGGGGAAGGAAAGUCAGCCGUGCAAAUAUGGCCACGUCCUCUUCACACACAUGGGACAAACCCACUUCCCCUGUCCAUGGGAGUCAGAUGUCUCUCCAAAUCCUCACGGGUCUCCUGCCCACAUGCACACAUGUGUGCCACACCUGGCAACACACACACACACAGACAGGGUGCAUCCUCCACCCUGCCUCUGGUCCCUGAGGGCGGCACCAGGCUUUGCCAUCACAGUCACACUUGUGCACCCCCGCCGGGCAGAGGCCAGGUGCAGUGGCCCUGGCCCCCGCCCGGCUAAGAAGGGGGCGGUAAUUACGUGGCCCCGGGGUGCCCCCCACACACGCGCCUUUCAUCCCGGGCCACGCCCCGCCCGUCCCCAACCCAGACGCUCAUUACAGCCUCCCGCCCGGUCAUUAGCCCGGGUCGGGGGAGGACUUGGCGAAGGGGGGCGCGGUGCUCCUCCUCAUCUCCAAAGCGACGCCCAGUGGUGGUGUUGGGUGCCAGGGACCACGGAUAGAGUGGGCUCGACUUCAAGGGAUGCAGGUGGCACCCUGCAUCCCUUCGGAUUUAUAAAAGACGGCUGGGAUUCAAGAUGGCCCCCAGUGGGUGCAUACACGAAGGACGCGACGGGUGACUUCUUGGACAAGUGCGCUGCCCUGACUCAAAGGAGUGAACCUCGAGCGUGGAGCCCAACUAUUCUGAUCCCUUGUGCAGGCAAGUCACCUGCGAGCUGAGCACUGCGAUGCUAGGCCGGCACUGCCCCGGUCUCCGUCCACGAUGGCUGUCCAGAAUGGCGACGUCUAGUGGCCUUAGAGUGGCCAAGAGGCUGGCGGCCGCACAGAAAGAGGCGGGACAUGGGUCUUGAACGCUCCAGCCGAGUCUGCAGCGCCCUCUCGUGUCCAUACCACGCAGAGCACCAUUUUGAAGCAGGGGUUCACAGCCUGGGUGGAGAGACAGAGACAAAGUGCACCAGGACAUACAUACAUACCUUAGACACAAGUACACCAAAGACGCAAGAGCUGCUCAUUGGAGCUAUAUUCAUGGGUCACAUAUUUGCACGCUCUUCCGGGGAUCUGAAAAGUCUAUGCGUACUGGUGGGGUCUGGCCCAAAGGAUCUGGUUGGUAGUAAGCUUAUUAAGUGGGUGCUGGUUGAAUCAACGAAUCAAUGAAUGAAUACAGCAAUUCCCAAAGACAGGGACUAGAAGUUCUCAGAAUGGGAAUGAGUCCAGGGGCUCAGCAUGACCCUGGCAGCUGGGAUUACAGGGAUCCAGUUUCCCCUGGGAGGCACACAUGGGGACUGCCUUGUUUCUGGUUCGCCUAGCCUGUGGUCCAGCAUUCCCCGCUAUGCAUGGUCCCCUCCCCACCUGGCUGACGCAGUGAGGGAGGGAAAGCAUGUUUCUCUGCUCUUUUUAAUAACCUCCCUUCGUGAGUGGCUGACGCUCUGACGGGGAUAGGAGGUUGAGUGCGGGGGGGGGGGGGGUUACAGAGGGAGUGGCCAUGAGUCACCAGCUGCCAUCUAGGAGGAAGGCAGCAUUGAGUCCCUGAGGGUUCUGGCAUUCUCCUUCUGGAGACAGAUGGGUCACCUCGACCAACCUCAUUCGAGGGUCAGUGAGCUUGGAGCUUAGAGCAGGGUUGGGUUGACUUAGUCCUCUAUGUCAGCAGAUUGCAUUCUCUCCAGGGGGCACUGCACUGGCCCCUGUCCCAGUCAGUGCCUUGGGCAGAAGGUGCUGAAGUGUUAAUGGGUGAACUGCCUUAGUUAGGGGUAAGGGUCCUUGAAAAGACCAGUCAGGUCGCUCAGGUCUCAGAACUAGAGUGAAAAGAGAUGGCGUACCGUGGCCUGCUGUUAAGGGUGUUAUCCCGGGUACUUAGCAGGCUGGGGCUACAUAGGUAAGAGCAGGCAGGAAAAGAAGGAUGGCUUAGUGGUAAAGAGCCCCGGCUGCUCUUGCAGAGGACCUGGAUUCAGUUCACAGCACCCACAUGGAGGUUCACAGCUGUCUGUACCUCUGGUUCCAGAGAACCCAACACAGCCUCUAUGUGUACAACGCAGGCACAUGGUGCACAGACAUUCAAGAAAAACACCCAUACAUAUAAAAUGUGGCUUUGUUUCUCACAUGUUUUUUUUUUGUUGUUGUUAUGCUUUGUUUUUUUUUUUUUUUUUUUUGAGACAGGUAUUUUCUGUGUGGUCUUGGCUAUCCUGGAACUCACUCUGUAGACCAGGCUGGCCUUGAACUCGCAGAGAUACACCUGCCUCUGCCUCCCAAGUGCUGGGAUUAAAAGUAUGCACCACCACUCCCUGGCUCAUAAGAAGGUAUAUAACCUUAAGGUUAUCCUUAACCUAUAACCUAUAGGUUAAGUUCCUGCCUAGAAUCCUCCAUUAAGGGACUGGAUGUGGUCAGGGGUGAAGCCCCGCCAGAACCCUCCAGUGAGGGGCUGAGGGCAUGGUCAGGAGUCCCUUCAGAUGGCAUGCUUGAAGCCCUGGGUGUAUGCAGAAGAGCAGUGCUCUGCCAGCUGUAAUGUGCACCUGGUUGGGGGUGAGCAGAAAGCAGGAUUCAAAUGGCAGUUAAGUUAUGGAGCAGGUUGAGAUUUGCAGGCAAACUGAGUUGGGUUCAGGAGAGACGCUGCAGCAAGUCUGAAGGAGGAGUACUGACUUUGUGGUUAAUAUUGUGAUGAAAGUGUUAGGACUGAUCUUAUGGAAUGUCUGAGAGCCUUGGGUCCAGAGAAUCAUUAGGAGUCAGUUGUUUUGGGAGUCAGCUCAGUGGAUAACGGGGCUUGCUGCUAAUCCUGAAUUUGAUCCUAAGGAUGGAAGGAGAGACACCAGAAAAUUGCCUUCUGGCUUUCACACACGCACUUCAGCUAAUAAAUGUAAUAUUAAAAAGAAAAGAAAAAAAAAAGCAGUGCGUUGAAGCUCUUUGUUCGCCGCCGCAGACCAACCGCGCGGAGAGCAACGAAGUGGGUCAGCUCCGCCCCUGAACCGCGCUGUCACCGCCCUCCGGCCGCUAGGGGGCGGGAGAAUGCGGCCGGGGCACAUCCCAGCCAAUCAAAACGCUCAGCGCCUCCGCGCGGGCAGGGACGAAGCCGGGGAUA